rnacentral:rRNA from 1 species
AUUGAACGCUGGCGGCAGGCCUAACACAUGCAAGUCGAACGGUAACAGGAUGCGGCUUGCUGCUUUGCUGACGAGUGGCGGGCGGGUGAGUAGUGUCUGGGAAACUGCCUGAUGUCGGGGGAUAACUACUGGAAACGGUAACUAAUACAGCAUAACGUCGCAAGAGCAAAGAGGGGGAGCUUCUGGCCUCUUGCCAUCGGAUGUGCCCAGAUGGGAUUAGCUAGUAGGUGGGGUAACGGCCCACCAAGGCGACGAUCCGUAGCUGGUCUGAGAGGAUGACCAGCCACACUGGAACUGAGACACGGUCCAGACUCCUACGGGAGGCAGCAGUGGGGAAUAUUGCACAAUGGGCGCAAGCCUGAUGCAGCCAUGCCGCGUGUAUGAAGAAGGCCUUCGGGUUGUAAAGUACUUUCAGCGGGGAGGAAGGGAGUAAAGUUAAUACCUUUGCGCAUUGACGGUACCCGAAGAAGAAGCACCGGCUAACUCCGUG